rnacentral:rRNA from 1 species
AUUGAACGCUGGCGGCAGGCCUAACACAUGCAAGUCGAGCGGGGUUUUCGGACCUAGCGGCGGACGGGUGAGUAAUGCGUAGGAAGCUACCCGAUAGAGGGGGAUACCAGUUGGAAACGACUGUUAAUACCGCAUAAUGUCUACGGACCAAAGUGUGGGACCUUCGGGCCACAUGCUAUCGGAUGCGCCUACGUGGGAUUAGCUAGUUGGUGAGGUAAUGGCUCACCAAGGCAACGAUCUCUAGCUGGUUUGAGAGGAUGAUCAGCCACACUGGAACGGGGACACGGUCCAGACCCCUACGGGAGGAAGCAGUGGGGAAUAUUGGACAAUGGGCGAAAGCCUGAUCCAGCCAUGCCGCGUGUGUGAAGAAGGCCUUCGGGUUGUAAAGCACUUUCAGUAGGGAGGAAGCGUUGUGUGUUAAUAGUACACAGCGUUGACGUUACCUACAGAAGAAGCACCGGCUAACUCUGUGCCAGCCGCCGCUGUAACAC